rnacentral:tRNA from 1 species
CGUCAGAUGACUGAAAUGAAAGUAAUGGUCUCUUAAACCAAAAUAUAGUAAGAUUAUAUUAAACGUCUACUUCUGAUGAUA